CUCCUGGAAACGGGUGGUAAUGCCCGAUGCUCCAUCAUGCUGCAUGGUGUGGUGGGAAAGCUUCGGCGGUAUGGGAUGGGGUCGCGUCCUAUCAGCUUGUUGGUGGGGUAAUGGCCUACCAAGGCUUCGACGGGUAGCCGGCCUGAGAGGGCGACCGGCCACAUUGGGACUGAGAUACGGCCCAGACUCCUACGGGAGGCAGCAGUGGGGAAUAUUGCGCAAUGGGGGGAACCCUGACGCAGCGACGCCGCGUGCGGGAUGGAGGCCUUCGGGUUGUGAACCGCUUUUGGUAAGGAGCAAGCGAGAGUGAGUGUACUUAUCGAAUAAGGACCGGCUAACUACGUGCCAGCAGCCGCGGUAAUACGUAGGGUCCAGGCGCUGUCCGGAAUUAUUGGGCGUAAAGGGCUCGUAGGCGGCCUGUCGCGUCUGGUGUGAAAGCCCGUGGCUUAACUGCGGGUCUGCGCUGGAUACGGGCGGGCUAGAGUGCGGUAGGGGAGAAUGGAAUUCCCGGUGUAACGGCGGAAUGUGUAGAUAUCGGGAAGAACACC
rnacentral:rRNA from 1 species